AACGCGUAGGUAAUCUACCCUAGAGUCUGGAAUAACCGGCCGAAAGGCUGGCUAAUACUGGAUAGAGCGAAGAACUCGUAAGAGGGUUUUUCGGGAAAGGGAGGCAGCAAUGCCCCUUGCUUUAGGAUGAGCCUGCGUCUCAUUAGCUAGUUGGUAGGGUAAUGGCCUACCAAGGCAUUGAUGGGUAGCUGGUCUGAGAGGAUGAUCAGCCACACUGGAACUGAAACACGGUCCAGACUCCUACGGGAGGCAGCAGUGGGGAAUCUUGCGCAAUGGACGAAAGUCUGACGCAGCAACGCCGCGUGAGUGAAGAAGGCCUUAGGGUUGUAAAGCUCUGUCGAGCGGGACGAAAAUGCUUGGGGUUAACAGCCUCAGGAACUGACGGUACCGCUAAAGGAAGCACCGGCUAACUCUGUGCCAGCAGCCGCGGUAAUACAGAGGGUGCAAGCGUUGCUCGGAAUCAUUGGGCGUAAAGGGUAGGUAGGUGGUCUCAUUUGUCAGGGGUGAAAUCCUUGGGCUUAACUCAAGAAGUGCCCCUGAAACGGUGAGACUGGAGUCUUGGAGAGGGUCGUGGAAUUCCCGGUGUAGCGGUGAAAUGCGUAGAGAUCGGGAGG
rnacentral:rRNA from 1 species